rnacentral:rRNA from 1 species
UUUGGAGGGCAAGUCUGGUGCCAGCACACGCGGUAAUUCCAGCUCCAAUAGCGUAUAUUAAAGUUGUUGCAGUUAAAAAACUCGUAGUUGAACCUUGGGCCCGGCUGGCCGGUCCGCCUCACCGCGUGUACUGGUCCGGCCGGGCCCUUCUUUCUGGGGAGCCGCAUGCCCUUCACUGGGGGUGUCGGGGAACCAGGACUUUUACUUUGAAAAAAUUAGAGUGUUCAAAGCAGGCCUUUGCUCGAAUACAUUAGCAUGGAAUAAUAGAAUAGGACGUGCGGUUCUAUUUUGUUGGUUUCUAGGACCGCCGUAAUGAUUAAUAGGGAUAGUCGGGGGCAUCAGUAUUCAAUUGUCAGAGGUGAAAUUCUUGGAUUUAUUGAAGACUAACUACUGCGAAAGCAUUUGCCAAGGAUGUUUUCAUUAAUCAGUGAACGAAAGUUAGGGGAUUGAAGGCGAUCAGAUACCGUUGUAGUUUUAACCAUAAACUAUGCCGACUAGGG